rnacentral:rRNA from 1 species
GAUGAACGCUAGCGGCAGGCUUAACACAUGCAAGUCGAGGGGUAUAGUUCUUCGGAAUUAGAGACCGGCGCACGGGUGCGUAACGCGUAUGCAAUCUACCUUUCACAGAGGGAUAGCCCCAGAGAAAUUUGGAUUAAUACCUCAUAGUAUAGCAGUUUCGCAUGAAACCACUAUUAAAGUCACAACGGUGAAAGAUGAGCAUGCGUCCCAUUAGCUAGUUGGUAAGGUAACGGCUUACCAAGGCAACGAUGGGUAGGGGUCCUGAGAGGGAGAUCCCCCACACUGGUACUGAGACACGGACCAGACUCCUACGGGAGGCAGCAGUGAGGAAUAUUGGACAAUGGGCGCAAGCCUGAUCCAGCCAUGCCGCGUGCAGGAUGACGGUCCUAUGGAUUGUAAACUGCUUUUAUACAGGAAGAAACACUCCGACGUGUCGGAGCUUGACGGUACUGUAAGAAUAAGGAUCGGCUAACUCCGUGCCAGCA